UCUGGGACAAGCCCUGGAAACGGGGUCUAAUACCGGAUACCACUACCGCAGGCAUCUGUGGUGGUUGAAAGCUCCGGCGGUGAAGGAUGAGCCCGCGGCCUAUCAGCUUGUUGGUGAGGUAAUGGCUCACCAAGGCGACGACGGGUAGCCGGCCUGAGAGGGCGACCGGCCACACUGGGACUGAGACACGGCCCAGACUCCUACGGGAGGCAGCAGUGGGGAAUAUUGCACAAUGGGCGAAAGCCUGAUGCAGCGACGCCGCGUGAGGGAUGACGGCCUUCGGGUUGUAAACCUCUUUCAGCAGGGAAGAAGCGAAAGUGACGGUACCUGCAGAAGAAGCGCCGGCUAACUACGUGCCAGCAGCCGCGGUAAUACGUAGGGCGCAAGCGUUGUCCGGAAUUAUUGGGCGUAAAGAGCUCGUAGGCGGCUUGUCACGUCGGGUGUGAAAGCCCGGGGCUUAACCCCGGGUCUGCAUUCGAUACGGGCUAGCUAGAGUGUGGUAGGGGAGAUCGGAAUUCCUGGUGUAGCGGUGAAAUGCGCAGAUAUCAGGAGGAACACCGGUGGCGAAGGCGGAUCUCUGGGCCAUUACUGACGCUGAGGAGCGAAAGCGUGGGGAGCGAACAGGAUUAGAUACCCUGGUAGUCCACGCCGUAAACGGUGGGAACUAGGUGUUGGCGACAUUCCACGUCGUCGGUGCCGCAGCUAACGCAUUAAGUUCCCCGCCUGG
rnacentral:rRNA from 1 species